GAUGAACGCUAGCGGCAGGCCUAAUACAUGCAAGUCGAACGGUGUCUUCGGACAUAGUGGCGCACGGGUGCGUAACACGUAUGCAACCUACCUUACAUUGGGGGAUAGCCUUUCGAAAGGGAGAUUAAUACCGCAUAAGACAGUAGCUGGGCAUCCAGCAGCUGUUAAAGAUUUAUCGAUUGAUGCUGGGCAUGCGUCCAAUUAGCUAGUUGGUGAGGUAACGGGUCACCAAGGCAAUGAUUGGUAGGGGAACUGAGAGGUCAAUCCCCCACACUGGCACUGAGAUACGGGCCAGACUCCUACGGGAGGCAGCAGUAGGGAAUAUUGGGCAAUGGACGCAAGUCUGACCCAGCCAUGCCGCGUGCAGGAUGAAGGCGUUAUGCGUUGUAAACUGCUUUUAUACAGGAAGAAACGACUCUUGCGAGAGGCAUUGACGGUACUGUAUGAAUAAGCACCGGCUAACUCCGUGCCAGCCGCCGCUGUAAGAC
rnacentral:rRNA from 1 species